rnacentral:rRNA from 1 species
CGGAGAUAGCUGGUUCUCCCCGAAAUAGCUUUAGGGCUAGCCUCAGGGGAUAGUCUAGCGGAGGUAAAGCACUGACUGGGCUAGGGGCCUUACCGGGUUACCGAACCCUAUCAAACUAAGAAUGCCGCAUAGAUGUUACCUGGGAGUCAGACUACGAGAGAUAAGUUCCGUGGUCGAAAGGGAAACAGCCCAGACCAUCAGCUAAGGUCCCAAAAUCGCGGUUAAGUGGUAAAGGAUGUGGGCUUGCUAAGACAACUAGGAUGUUGGCUUAGAAGCAGCCAUUCAUUCAAAGAGUGCGUAAUAGCUCACUAGUCGAGUGAGCCUGCGCCGAAAAUUAUCGGGGCUAAACCGUGUACCGAAGCUGUGGAUUCAUACACGUUCAAUGGUGGAACCUUAAGGGAAGCAUGGAUGAUAAUUUAGCAGGAAAGGAACCUUGAUAAACAUUCAAAUCAAAGAGGAAGCUUUCCGACAAAUUCUCACCAGCUAAAGCGUGAAGACUGAAGAUAAGAGACAUAUAGCAAAAGGUUCCAGCAUUGAGCGUGUAUGAGUGGUAGGGGAGCUUACUGCAACAGGCUGAAGGUCGACCGAGAGGACGGCUGGACGAAGCAGUAGUGAGAAUGCCGGAAUAAGUAGCGAGAGUAAAGUGAGAAUCUUUACCGUCGAAAGCCUAAGGUUUCCUGGGGAAGGUUCGUCCGCCCAGGGUAAGUCGGGACCUAAGCCGAGGCCGAAAGGCGUAGGUGAUGGACAACAGGUUGAUAUUCCUGUACUACCGUUACUCGCUUGAGAGAAGUGGGGACGCAGGGGGAAUAGUUAAGCGAGCGACUGGAAGAGCUCGUCCAAGGGAGAUAGAUAGUCCGGCAGGCAAAUCCGCCGGAUGUUUCGAAGGCCCGAUGGGGAGGGAAAUUAGAGUACCGAAGUAACGAUUUCCGCACUGACGAGAAAAGCCACUAUCGAGAGUAAAGGUACCCGUACCGCAAACCGACACAGGUAGGUGAGGAGAGAAUCCUAAGACGAGCGGGAGAAGCGUUGUUAAGGAACUCGGCAAAUUGACCCCGUAAGUUCGCGAGAAGGGGUGCCUCGAGAGAGGCCGCAGUGAAACGGCCCAAGCAACUGUUUAGCAAAAACACAGGUCUCUGCUAAAUCGAAAGAUGACGUAUAGGGGCUGACGCCUGCCCGGUGCUGGAAGGUUACGGGGAUCUGUUAGCGCAAGCGAAGCAGUGAACUUAAGCCCCAGUAAACGGCGGCCGUAACUAUAACGGUCCUAAGGUAGCGAAAUUCCUUGUCGGGUAAGUUCCGACCCGCACGAAUGGCGUAAUGACUUGGGCACUGUCUCGACAACGCGCCCGGCGAAAUUGUAGUACUCGUGAAGAUGCGAGUUACCCGCGACAAGACGGAAAGACCCCAUGGAGCUUUACUGCAGCCUGAUACUGGGUUUCGGUAUUUUUUGUACAGGAUAGGUGGGAGACUGAGAAGCGUGGGCGCCAGCUUACGUGGAGUCGUCGUUGGGAUACCACUCUAAAAGUACUGAGGCUCUAACCAGAGUCUGUGAACCAGGCUUGGGACACUGUCAGGUGGGCAGUUUGACUGGGGCGGUCGCCUCCCAAAAGGUAACGGAGGCGUCCAAAGGUUACCUCAGCGCGGUUGGAAAUCGCGCAUC